CUCACGCGUGCAACCAGGUGAAGCCAACUUUACUCGUGUAGUUAGAUGAACCUGUAGCAGCUGCUGUCUACCGAGGGAGCUGAGUGACCAAUGAGCGCAAGAGAAGGCCGGGACCAAUGAUCUCUCUGAUGGAACUGGACCAACCCAUGCUCUACGAUGCUGCUGGACCAGGAGGCUGCUGUACCAUAUAAAAGUUGAAAUCACCAA